UCCACAUAUGGAGUAACAAGUGGACACAAAUUAUGGAAUGAACAGCUGUGUGUACUGCGGGGCCUGCCGGGAUGUCGACAGGUCCCGAUUUUUUCU
rnacentral:sRNA from 1 species